GGAGACGAAUUGGCUAAUGAGGAAGCUCACCAGUGGAUCAGCAGAUCUAGAUAUCAUUUCAAUCACUGGUAUGCCGGGUUCGGGUAAAACUACUUUGGCGUACAAAGUAUACAAAGAUAAAUCAAUUUCAAGUCAUUUCGACCUUCGUGCAUGGAGCACAGUUGACCAAGAACAUGACGAGAAGAAGUUGUUGGUGAAACUUUAUAAUCAAGUUAUUGGCUCGGAUUUGAAGUUCAGUGAGGAUAUUGAUGUUGCCGAUUUGCUACGGAGACAACUGUUUGGAAAGAGGUAUCUUAUUGUCUUAGAUGACGUGUGGGAUACUACUACAUGGGAUGAGUUAACAAGACCUUUUCCAGAAGUUAAGAAAGUAAGCAGAAUUAUAUUGAUGACUCAAGAAAAUAAAGCGGCUUUGCAUGGAAAUCGCAGCACUGAUCCUCUUAAUCUUCGAUUGCUAACACCAGAAGAAAGUUGGGAGUUAUUAGAGAAAAGGACAUUUGGAAACGAGAGUUUCCCUGAUGAACUAUUGGAUGUUGGAAAAGAAAUAGCUGAAAUUGUAAAGGGCUUCCUUUGGUGGUGGAUCUGAUUUCUGGAGUCAUUGCUGGGAGGGAAAAGAAAAAGACUGUGUGGCUUGAAGUUGUAAAUAAUUUGCAUUCCUUUAUUUUGAAAAAUGAAGUGGAAGUGAUGAAAGUUAUAGAAAUAAGUUAUAACCACUUUCCUGAUCACCUAAAGCCAUGCUUGCUUCAUUUUGCAAGUAGGCCGAAGGACAGUGCAAUAACAAUCUAUGAGUUGAAAGAUGUAUGGGUUGCUGAAGGAUUCGUGGAAAAGACAGAAAUGAAGAGUAUGGAAGAAGUGGUGAAGAUUUAUGUCGAUGAUUUAAUUUCCAAUAGCUUGGUAAUUUGUUUCAAUGACAUAGGUGAUGACCCGACUUGCAAAAUUCAUGAUCUUGUGCAUGACUUUUGUAUGAUAAAAGCAAGAGAGGAAAAGUUGUUUGAUUUGAUAAGUUCAAGUGCUCCAUCAGAUAUGUUGCCACGUCAAAUUACCAUUGAUGAUGAUGAGGAGCACUUUGGGCUUAAUCUUGUCCUGUUCGGUUCAGAUAAGAAAAGGCAUUCUGGUAAACACCUCUAUUCUUUGACCAUACAUGGAGACCAGCUGGAUGACCGUCUUUAUGAUACAUUUCACCUAAGACAAUUGAGGCUUCUUAGAGUGUUGUACCUGGAUCCCUCAUUUAUCAUGGUGAAUGAUUCUUUGCUUAAUGAAAUAUGCAUGUUGAAUCAUUUGAGGUACUUAAGAAUUGGGACAGAUGUUAAAUCUCUGCCUUUGUCUUUCUCAAACCUUUGGAAACUAGAAAUCCUGUCGGUUCGUAACGAAGAAUCAACCUUGAUACUAUUACCGAGAAUUUGGGAUCUUGUAAAGUUGCAAGUGCUAUACAUGUGUGCUUGUUCUUUUGUUGAUAUGGAUGCUGAUGAAUCAAUAUUGAUAGCAGAGGACACAAAGUUAGAGAACUUGAGAUAUUUAGAGAAUCUCAAGCUUUCCUAUUCAAAAGACGGAGCAUAUUUUCAAAAGGCUUCCCAAUCUUCAAGUGCUUGCCUUUGAUAUCAAGGAAUCAUGUGAUUAUUCAACAGAGCAAUAUUGGUUGCUGAAAUUGGAUUUCCUAACUGAACUAGAAGAACUCAAUGUAGGUUUUGAAAGUUCGAAUACAAAUGUCGACAGUGGGUCCACAAAUAGGACAUGAGAUUUUCACUUCCCUUCUAGUUUGAAAAAAUUGUCGUUGGGUGAGUUUCCUCUGACAUCCGAUUCACAUCAACAAUAGCCCAACCUUGAAGAGUUGUUCCUUUAUUAUACAAUCAUUCAGGGGGAAGAAUGGAACAUGGGGGAGGAAGACACCUUUGAGAAUCUCAAAUUUUUGGAGUUGCAUCAAGUAACUCUUGCCAGGUGGGAUGUUGGAGAGGAAUCCAUUCCCGCGCUUGAGAAACUAAAACUAUGGAGAUGUCAUAUGCUUGAGGAGAUUCCGCCUAGUUUUGGAGAUAUUUAUUGAUUGAAAAUUAUCAAACUUGUAGACAGCCCUCAACUUGAAGUUUCCGCUAUGAAGAUUAAGGAAUAUGCUGAAGAUAUGAGGGGAGGGGACGAGCUUCAGAUCCUUGGCCGGAAUAAUAUCCCGAUAAUUAAGUAGCUUUUGAGCAUUAUGUGUGAAACGUAGAUUGUGAUUUACUGGGUAGAUUGUAUAUGAUUAAGAAAAUUUUGUUACACUUGUGAAAUAUUUUGUAUGACUUUUCUGAGUUUCUUUUAGAAAACUUACAAGUCUUUAAUAGAUUGUGAUUUCUGACAUAUCUAAUCUCUGAUAUGAUCAGGCACUCUUGCAAAUUGUGGUGGCUGUGGGUAAGUUCUAGCUUGAGUUUUACUUUUUUAUAGAUUUGUGAGUUGAUGAUUUUGAGACUCGAUACAGUAACUGCAUUUGUAAUAAAAUAGAAAAACCUAUCAUGGUUAUUAAUCAUCUACCUUCAUGAUUACCUAAUCCUUGGAAGUUGGAACACUCGAUGCUGGUUUUUGGGCCAUAGUCCAUCACUGCAAGGGAUUGCAACGACUUUCCCUUUCUGGCCUCCUUACAGAUCGCGUCUUCCAUUACAUCGGGGUCCAUGCUAAGAAGCUGGAGAUGCUCUCCAUAGCUUUUACUGGAAAUGUAAUCUAGGUCUCGACUACAUGCUCUCUGGUUGGGAAAGCCUCUGUAAGCUGGAGAGCAGAGACUGCCUCUUCGACGACGAGGCUUUGUUGGUCAAUGUUUCAAAGCUGGAGACAAUGUGAUACCUUUGGAUGUCUUCUUGUUCAGUAAGUUAUGGCGCAUGUCAGCUCCUAGAUGGGAGUGGUCAUAAGGAUACGAGGCCAGAAAGUUGCCCUGUCGAGAAACUCUACAUAUAUAUACAGGACAGUGGCAGACUGGCUGGCAGGACGGAGGUUCGACAUGCCUGAUUUCGUUUGGACCGUGGACAGAGAUUCAUCAGAAUCAACGUCAUAUAGAACAGGGAAUUGGUCCAUGGCUUCUGUAUAGGAAAAACUGCAGGUAUCAGUUCUACAUUGAUCUUUCUCCACACUUUUUUGCUCGAGGCCCUUGGGUAGUUUUAGCGUGCUAGUUGUAGUCGACGGAAGAUGGGAGAUGAAAGUUAUUGGAGAAGGCUUUUGAAGCUCAUACACAAUCAUUUUCACCCUUGAUCAAGGGACUAGUAGUAACAAAUACUAUUUUGUUUUGGUUGUGUAUACUAUGAGUAUGUUCAAUUUGCUCCUCUGAUGCAAAUGGUGUUGUCAUGAACUAACAUACUUAUUCUAGGAGGAGCUCUUACACAACUAACGUAUAUAAUCUCUCUAGCUAUAGUUUCCCAGGGUUUCCUACGCUUCUCGAAAAUUCUCUGGUUCUUUUCACUCCAUAUCCCAUUUGUGAUAUCUGCAUAUAUCAACUUGAACACCUGAGCUUUCUUCGAUUUUCCUUUUGCAUUGCUGAGUGUUCAUUAUAUGUGUUGUUCCUGUAAAGUGAAAAUGUAACGAACCCCAAUUCUCAGCACAAAUACUCGAGUAUUAAAUAAUCACUAAUAACCAAAUUACAAGGACAAUACUUAAAUGAUUGAAUUACAAUGAAAAUACUGAAAUAUAACAACUAAGAUGGAGAUGAGAAUGGAGGUGAGAAAUUUAAGGGAGCUUUUCUUGAUCAUUUCUUUCCUCUUGAAAUGAGAGAAUCGAAAGUGCUUGAGUUCAUUAAUCUUCGUCAAGGCAAUAUGAGUGUGAAGGAGUAUGCUUUGAAGUUCACUCAAUUGGCUAAGUAUGCUCCAACUAUGGUUGCCGAUUCUAAGGCAAGGAUGAGUAAGUUUGUGUAGGGUGUGUUAUAAAGGGAAAGUUUAUUACUAUAAAAUGAUGGAUUGUAAUCUGAGAAUACCAAAGCAUAUGGGCAUUAACUGAUGUAUUAUUGACUAUGAUAGUGCCUUGAGAUCAUUCACACAGACACGUGGAGAUCGUUUGUGUCGGUAUAUGGAUUUCGCAAGUCCUCCAUGGGUCAUGAACUCUCGAUGAAUUUCUGAGAAGUAUUGUGUAUGUACGAUUGAGAGAGUACUUGACAGUUGAGGCAUACCAUUUCAUGGUGUUGCAUAUGUAUUAUUGGCAGAUUUUUUUUCAAAUUUUGACCCAAUUUUUAUGAUUUGAGGACUGAGGAGCGUAUCUGUCUAUUUAUUCACCUAAUUAUACUUCCAGAUCUUACCCAGGACCGACUCAACAACAUUGGGGGCCUAAAGCGAAAGUUAAGAGAGGGGCCCUAAAUUUUUUUUUCAUCGUAUGUACUUUUAUUUAAAAUAUACUUUUCUAACUAUUUCAGAUGCAAAGUUAUUAAGUAUUGUUUUAUAAUCAAUUUAUUUUAAUAAUUCCUUUUCAAAUGAUAAUAUAGCUAAUUCAUUCAAUCUAUCUUGAGACAUUAUUGAUCUUAAAGAAGAUUUAAUCAAUUUUAAUUUCGAACGGAGAAAAAUUUGGUUGAGGCAAUGGUUAUGAACUGUUAACACAAUAUGUGUAUUUGGAAAAGAAUCAAAUCUUUUAAAAAAAUUUCAUCAUCUAGUAAUCUCAAUAUUUUACCACUAAAUAAGAAAUCAAAAAUAUUUUUAUAUGCUUCAAUUGGUUCAAAUCUAUUUUAAAGUGAAAAAAUAGUUUGAUCUACUCUACAUAUAUAAUGUAAUCAACUCUAAAGAUUCUUCGAGGGACUUAGUGAUUUCGUUAUCCAUAUUUUCAUCAAAUUGUUUCUUACGAAAAUUAUAUUUGUAUUCAUGUCAUAUGCAAUUUCUUUAGUAGAUAGCACUUAUAGUACAUAUAAUUUAUUUAUUUUAAAAAAUAAUAUAUAUAAGUAAUUGUUUUUUAAAAAUGGGGGCCCCAAAAAAUAUGGGGCCCCAAGCGAUGGCUUUAGUGGCCUAGGGGUUAAGACGGCCCUGAUCUUACCUAAUCUCUUUAAUUUGGAUUAUAUAUAUUAACAAUUGUCUAACUUGCAGCUUUCACGGAUUUGACACAUCUAUCUUGUGUCAGCAACAACAAACGCACAUAUUAUUCCUAUCCCGUGGAGGUAAAAAAUUUGUAUCAAAAAGACUUUAUGCCCUCUUAUAACAGAUGAUUUUUCACAGGUCAUAAAUUAAUAUUUUCCGUAUCACAAUAUCUCAUAAGUUAUAUUCGGACAUGAACAUCUUUAUGAAAAACAUAAAGUAUUGAACUCAAAAUUCAUUUGAUAUUUUCCGAGAAUAUCAACUGAGUAUAGUAAUUAAAUUACUUCUAGUUGUUCAGUCGUUUGAAAACCAAAAUCGUUCUUAAUUUGACUAACCCUGCAAAUAUGACAUUCAUUGGCAGCAGUAAAAUAAUUUGUGUAUUAAAUAAAUGAAAUAUUCAUGUUAAAUCAUUUAAGGUUCUUAAGCAUUGGGACAAAAGUAAAAUCUCUGCCUUCGUCUUUCUCAAACCUUUGAAAUCUAGAAAUCAUGUUGGUGUAUAACGAAGGAUCAAUGUUGGUACUAUUACCGAGAAUAUGGGAUCUUGUGAAGUUGCGAAUGGUGUAUGUGAGUAAUUGUUCUUUCUUUGAUAUGGAUCAAUACUGAUAGCAGAGACACAAAGUUAGACAACUUGACAUGUUUAGCACAUCUCGUGCUUUCCUAUUCGAAAGAUAACAGAGGAUAUAUUCAAAACGCUUCCCAAUCUUCAACUGCGGAGAUGUUGUAUGCUAGAGAAGAUUCCGCCUAGUUUCGGGGAUAUUUGUUCAUUGAAAAUUAUCAAACUUCUAGACAGCCCUAAACUUGUAGAUUCUGCUAGGAAGAUUAAGGAAUAUGUUGAAGAAAUGAUGGGAGGGGACGACCUUCAGGUCGUUGGUUGGAACAUUAAUAUGCUGUUAUUUUAAGUAUUUCUUAAUCAUUAUGUGUGAACAGGUUCUUCUCCAUUCUUUUGCUGUCCUAAGUCUUGUUAAAAUAUGUCUACAAUGUAUUUGAUGAAAGUUUCAACUGAAAUGUCUAUGAAGUGUGAAUACUAAAGUAGAAAUAUGGCUGCACCUCAUUAUUUUUAUAAGCAAGUUUAACUAUAUUUGAGAAAAUAUAUUUGAAAUAUACAUGAGAUUAUAUUAUGUCUCAGACAAUAUACAUCUGCCCCUGACCUAUAUCUGUUUUCUUCUUAUCUUAUAAACUACUCUUCUUCUUUUUUUGUGUGUAAAUUAACAUUGUGUGAUAACGUUUUGUAAGCACCAUUUGAUGUUUGACCUUGAUCAAUAUCUCGAAAAUGACUUUUUAUAUGUCUGACUAUAUCUGCAUAAUUGUUUCCUUCUAUGACCUUCAUAAAGUUUUAAGCACAUUUUAUACAUCAGACCCUUUGGUAUUAACUAUUGGGAAGUACAAUCAUGGAAAGAAGAAAUGAAAAUGAAAAUGAAAGAGGAAGAUAGGAGGAGGAAGAAAACGGUAUGUCAUGCAUAUAAAUACUUAUAUUGGCCUUAAGAUACAAAAAUGUGAUACAUAUGUUUAAAGAAUUGUUAUUCGAAAGUUCAUAAUCUGAAAUGUGCAAGAACCACAAGCUACAGAGAAGUAUUGAAUUUGUCAUGAAUAUCAACAUUCUUCAUCCUAGUUAAUUAUUUUCCAAUUUUGGAUAGACUCUCAUUUAAAUCACUAAUAUUCUUCUAACCGUGGCUUCUUUUCUGAAGGUGGCAACUUUAAGUCCAUUAAGUAUAGGAUUGAUGAGCUUUGGUAGACAUGAAAUUCAAAAAAAUAUCUUAAUGAGGUGAAGUUUGAGCAGUCACCAGAUGGUGGUUCCAACUCUAAGGUGACAAGCACAAACUAUCCCGGAGGGUGAUUUCAAGCUCAAUGUAGAAAGCAUAUGCAUGGUUAGUGUUCCGAGAAAUGCUAUCUGUCGUUUGUUGUGUCUUUUUGGAAGUGUAUCCUCAGUGACUUUGAUCAAUAAAUGAUCAUCUUAAUCUUUUGUUUUCCCUAGUUUCUGUCUCCUAUUUCCUUUGGGAUAAAUUUAUCUUAUGUUUCAUAAUGUGGACUAAACAUGUUGGAGUCUUGAUGUUGAAUACAUAUAUAUAACUAUUAUGGUUAAUUCAUGUUGUUCCGAUUCCUGUGAAACAACGGACAAGAAUCUCAUUAAAAAUCUAAUGCACCAAGGUUCGGACAGGGAUGAAAAAUCUGUUGUUUGGAAUUAUUCAAGUGUGGCUAGAGCAGCUAGGAUGUAUCACUCGGAUAUCUACCUAAAUCAUCCGAGAGGAAUCCACUACCAGUUUUACGUCAAGCAAUACAUGGAGUAACUCCCAAUAGAACAGUAAAAUCAAGAUGUGUAGGUGUAUCAACUCUAAAAGAUUUGAUAUUUCUCCAAGAGCCCUUUCUGUGAGGCAAGUUGCCAAGACCAUGUGUAACUCAAUGUAUUUAAUUGAUUUGCAAAACAAAGAGUAAGAUCAUCAAGUUACUUUCAAGCAAUAAGAUUUGAUACCAUUUCUUAUUUCAAAUAAUAGUAGCAUGUAGUGUGACUACAAUUGUAUCAAAUUUGAUUUAUUUUUUUCUCUUUCUUGUUCGUAUAUAACUUACUAAUCUUUGGGUACGUGCGUUAUACGUGUAUCCAAGCAAGAACUGAUUCAAUAUUAUAGUUUCCGACACUUCCAAUAUUGAGCACAUAAAUCUAUGUGUAAAAAAUUACUAAAUUGCAACAAAUAGUCAACAUGAACCAUGAGUCAUUUAGUACAAAAUUGAACACAUAAAAUAUGAUUUUAAGACAUUAAUAAUAGUAUCAACAGUGAGAAAAAUAUAUUAAAUAAAAUAGUGGCAGACUUAAGAUUUUCACUAAAGGGGUUCAAAAUAUGAAGAAUUAAACACACGAAGGUUCAACAUCUACUAUAUAUACAUAAAAAAAAAACUUUAAAUCAUAUGUAUAAAUAUUAUAAUUUUCAGUCAAAGAGAGUUUGAAUGAACCCUCUUAGCCUUACCUAACUCCCUCGAUAAAACAGAUGGGUCAAGAAUGAUCCUUUCAACUUCAUCUCAUAUCAAUUUCCGAUAAGAUUUUGUAAAAGAAUUACAUAGACUGGUGAUAGAUUUAUAGUCCAUAUAUGAAGAGAAAUAUAAUGACAUAAAAUAUGCAAAUUUUUAAUCGGGGCAAUAUUUUUAAGUAUGUGGAAGAAAUAGAAAUAGUUGAUUAAAAGAGAAGCUCAAGAACAUCAAAAAUAUGGUUCACAUGUGUUGUUCGCGUGAGAGGAGAACGUGGAUGACCAUGCUCAACCUAUUAACCACUUCAUCAAAUUCUCCAAUUUAUAAUGAAUAAUAUUCAUUACUAUCAAAGUAUAUUUUUGUACAUUUAUCUUGUGAGAAGAUAUUAAUUCCUCCACAUCAUCAAUUAGCAACCAAGACUAUUUCUUUUGUAAAUUGUAGCUAAGUACAUGUAAUUGAAACUGUUUAUAAUUAAUUUGUAGAUGUUUAGAGUUCCAAAAGAAAUUCAACAUAACAAAUGUAAAGAGCACUCCUAAUAAAUACUACUAUAUAAUUAUCCUUUAAACACAUAUUAUAAUUUAGUAAUUCUUGGAGUUACAAGAGUGGCUUCUCACCUUGAGUAAGUUAUUUUUCCACUUUUAGUAUUUAGUAUAAUAUAAUAUAAUGACUGUUCAAAUACAUUUUAUACUGCAGCAUAUGAAUCUGAUCUAUAAUUAUACAUGAAAGGUAACUUUUCAAAUUACUUAUUCAUUUUUUCAAAUUAAUUGAGGAAAUCAAUGCAUUGAUUUUGAUAGAAUACAUUACACCUGCAUUUGAAUCUAGUCCAUAUUAUUGAACUAUACAAAGUAACCCUUCAUAUUCUUAACCUUUUGAGAGUAACUAAGAAAAUUGAUGCAUUGUUUUUUUAAAGAAUGAAAUUAUAUUAAUUUAACACCUUCUCACUUUUAGUACUUAGUAUAAUAUAAUUAUAAUUAGCUACUUAAUAUUUAAUUAAUUAAAUAUUUUAUAAUAUUAUGAUUGAAUGUAGGGGUAAAAUGGUAAUUCAACUUUGCACUUUGGAGUUUCCCACUUUUAGUAAUAAAAAAUAUAUAUAAUAAAAAUAAUAAUAAUAAUAAUAAUAAUAUAAUAUAUGAAUGAUAUGAUGAUGAUAUAUACAUUGUUUUAUCUAUCAUAACUUUUCAAAUUCUUCCGUUAUGAGAAUUGUGAUUAUGAUUAAAAACAAUAUCAAUGUACUCAUUUAUCAAGAAAAUAAUAAUUUAAUUAUUAAAAGGCUUAAGGACUUAAAUUCUACCAUUAUGUAAUUAAAAUAUUUUUAUUUAAUUAAAUAAUUAAUCAAAUUUUAAUUUAGUAAAAGGGCAAAAUGGUAACUCAACUUUUUUCACUUUAGAGCUUCCUACUUAUAAUAAUAAUAAUACUAGUUUUUGGUAACGUGCAUUGCACGUUUGUUCUUUAUUAUUAUGAUACUACAUUUUUUUUAUCUAUAAUGUUUUGAGGUAUAAAAUGAAAUAUUGGUGGAGUGAAAAUUGUUAACCACUAACUAAUAAUCUCGUUUACUGUUUAUAUGUUGUAUUCGAAUUCAAUUUCUAGUGUAUGUUUUUCUCUUUAAGAUUGUUAUUCCUUUUUCAUGUUUAGAAAGAUAAAUUUUAAUGUUGUUCAUAUUUGACUUUUAAGUACUCCUUCAUAUUAAAUUAAAUUACCUCAUUUGUUAGAAUAUGUCUUCUUAAGAGAUUUUCUCGAUUUAUUUUGCUCGAUGUUGUUGAGGGAGAAGCAUUAGUUAUCCUUUUUUAACCUCGAAAGCUAGGAGACUAAAGCAAAAUAUAAUUUCAAUAAGUCACUAUCAAACUAAAGCUAUCAAGGAGGCUCUACUUUGCAAAAUACACAUGCAUUAAGUUAUUAAAAUCUAAUUAACAGUACAAUAAUCAAAUGUUAAUCAAAUUUAUUAAAAAUACUCAUGCAAAAAAUUGCAAAAUUGUUGGAGAGACAUGCCGCAUACCUCAUUUGUAUUGGUGCAAUUUCUACUAAAAGUUCUAUUCAACGGUCUACAAAAACAUCACCUCUAGUUUAUACCUGAGAUUAAAAAAUUACAUCAUAAGUUCAUAAAACAAAAUUGUAGCAGCAUAUUUUCAUGUGAGAGAUCAAACACAUAAACAUCAAUUUAAGAAUAUAAUUUGAAUGAUAGCAAAAAAUGAAAAAAACUAAGUAUAAAGAAAUGUUUGAAAGAUAACAUAUGAUAAGAGUUUUAUGCUCUCUAAACCAAAUUCAAAUGUACAGUAUUGUCAUUAGAAGACAACGUGUAAGAGACUUAAUAGGUAUAGUGAUUUCUUGAAGGGUUAAAAAAUCAUUCAACUUUAAUGGUGAUUUCUUGAAGAGUUAAAAGUCAUUCAACUUUAAUGGUGAUUUCUUGAAGAGUUAAAAAGUCAUUCAACUUUAAUGGCUUCACACUUAUAUAAUAAUAAUUAAUUAACAAUAACAAUAACAAUAAUAAUAAUAAUAAUAAUAAUAAUAAUAUGAUAAUGAUAAUUAAAAAGUUGAAGGGCGUUUUCGUAAUCCAACUUUAGACUAAGCACCAUCCCACUUAUAAUAUGAUAUGAUAUUAUAAUAUAGGCUUAAGUUAUCUGUUGCCCCUUAAAGUUGUCUGCAUAAUUCAUUUAGACACAUCAACUAAGGUUUGUACCUAUUGAACACUCUAACCUUAAGAAAUUCUUACCUAUUUCACAUAAACUGACAAACAGUUGAAAAAUAAAAAUGCGUGUAUCUCAAACAUAAAUACAAAAUCGAUUUACCAAUAAAAUGAUGACACGUGGUAUUAUAUUCAAAAAAAAAUUAAAAGCUCUAUUUAAAUAAUCCAAAAAGUAUUUUAAAAAUUAAAAGUUUUUUUAAUUAACAGCCCCCCCCCCCCUCCCUUUCCCUUCUUCUUCUUCGAUAGACCCAAUUCGGGUUCCCCUUCCACCGGAGCCGAUGUCGGCACCAACGACGCCAGCAAACCAUCACUCUACCUCUUUCUUCUCUUUCGUUGCGUCGGCUGUACAAAAUACACCAUUGCUAUCCACUCAAGCUAAAUACUCAUUCCUCUUUCAUUUCGAUAGCAUGAAUAUCUUUUACUCAUUGCCUUCAUCUUCUAUCCAUUAGUAACUAGAAUUGAAAAAAAAAAAUAACAAACUUUUUCCCAAAAAAAAUCAAUUCAUAUUUUUUCAUGUAAUAAAUUGAGCUUCAUCGAGAUAUUUGAGACGUAAACUAACAUAAAAAGGGGAAAUAAGAAGAAGAAUGGCAGAGGGUGAGAGAAAGAGAGAGGUGGAGGGGGUGGGGUGUGCGCAUGUGUGUAAGAAAAAUGAUGGAAAUGGAGGAAUAAUAGAUGCAGGGAUGGGGAAGAAGACGACUGUUCCUUUUUUUUUGUUAAUUAAUUUUUUCUUUUUUAUUAAUUCAGGUGCAUAAGUUAAGGGGAAAAAAAGAAAAAAUAUUAUUUUUUGAUAACUUAAGGCGUUCAAAGAAAGUGAAGCACACGUUUUUUGUCAUGUCAGCAUUUUGUGUCUAAUAGGAAUGACUUUUGAACAAUAAGGUGUUCAAUUGGCACAGGGAUAAGUUGAAGUGUCUAAGUGAAUUAUACGGACAAGUUUGGAUGGUCGGAGAUGACUUAAGCCUAUAAUAUAUAAUGAUAUGAUGAUAUAUGAUAAUUAAAAUGCCAAAAGUGCUACCAAUUAUGUUAUCUAAUUUUGGAAAGAAAAAUUAAACCAGAUAAAUAUAAAAUUCAAAUUUCUAACCUCACGUAGAGAGGUGCACCCAGAGUCAUUAUCACAAUAUGUGAUACUCAUUCACAUAUCUAUAUUUCAAUAUUUUUUUUAAAAUAUGACACUACUAUAUAUGAUCUCGGAAGAGGACAUGGGUUCACGUGAACCCAGUGACCCCCUGUUGGAUAUGCCUCUAAGGUCAUAGGUUCACGUGCAUCAGGAUAAGUUAGCCAAUUACGACAAGUUGAAUAAACAAUAUGCCCAUGUGAAUACAUUUAUUAAGAUGAUAAAUAAUUCUAAAGUCAAUGAGUUGAGUUGAGUUGUAUGUUAAUAUAUAAUCUUGAAAUUAUUGUAAAUCCAGAUCCAAUUACGACAAGUUGAAUAAACAAUCUCUUUUAAACUAUUGAUAAACAACAAUCUGCCCAUGUGAAUACAUAUAUUAAGAUGAUAAAUAAUUCUAAAGUCAAUGAGUUGAGUUGAGUUGAGUUGUAUGUUAAUAUAUAAUCUCGAAAUUAUUGUAAAUCUAGAUCUACCUAUUUCAUUCUUCUUUCAACUACACUUCAUUUAGCAUUUUUCUCAAACAAGGGCUUCUAAUAUUGCUAACUUCAAACCGUCAAAAGGUAAGUUAAUCUUCAAACUCUCUUGUUUUCUUUAUCUUCUACUACCAUUUUUCAAAGAUAUAACAGAGAGAUUUUUCUUCUAAGUUGUUUUGAUCCGUUAAAAUUAAGCACUUUAAGUCUUGGUCAAAUAUUUAACAAACUCGAUCCAACAGUAAGAUCUAAGGGGAACUAUGAAUAACAAGAAACAUCAGGAAUGUCCAGUAAACAAAGUAGUCGCGUGCACAAAACAUCCAAUGUUAGUAGGGUUCAUGGAAGGGUCACACCCUAUAGGGACGUGCUGUAGAAACAUUUGUGGCUUCUUUCACGGCUCAAACCCAUGAUCUAUAGGGACAACUUUACUAUUAAUCGUAGGCUCCAUUUGCAUCACACAUCAUCUUCAUUCACAAGCUAACAAUCUCCACAAGUCUUAGUCAACUUGUAAUAUGAAUAUUAGGUAGACAAAUACGUACAUAUUUACAAAAUUGAGUUUCGUAUAUCAUAUGGUUUGAAGGAAUGAAAGAAUACGAUGGGGAGGGUAGAUAAAAUAAUAUACGAGGCAUAAAAACAGGAGAGACCCUUCGGGGUGGCCCAGUGGUUUGGGCUUGGGACUUCCAUGUUGGAGGUCUCAAGUUCGAAACCCCUUGCCAGCGAAAGCAAGGGGUUUGCCUUCUGGGUCGAGUUCGUCGCACUGGGCUUGCCUAGUGCGGGUUACCUCUCCUAUAUGGUUUGUGAGCUAUUGCAUAGGACUAGGGGUUUUACCCUGUGCGCACCCAAAAAGUAGCGGCUGCGGGUUUCACUUGUCAUAAAAAUAAAAAGGGAGAGAAAUUUGUAGUGAUAGGUUUUGUUUUCUUGAAUAUCUGGGACUUGUUUUUUCCUUCAUAUUAUUAGUAACUCCUUUUCUUAAAAUGCAACAACUUUAGGAUAUUAUGAAUAUAUUUUCACGCCAUAACAUGUUAUAUGAUCUCAACAAAAUUAAUAAGAAUAAUAUAUACUAUACUUUUCUGGUGUUGAAAAUACAAAUGCUAACAAAUACUAAAGAUAAAAAUCUGUUUGUGAGAAAAAAAAAAUUGACAACAAGUGAAUGGUUACAAUUUUUUUGACUCUUUGUGCUGCUUUUCUUCAGUUACAAUCAUGGAAAGAGGAAAACAAAAUCAAGAAGAAAGAGAGGAAGAGAAAGCAAACAACUCAUCGGUAUGUUUAAGAAAACUCUCUAUAGCUAUGUUAGGUGCCUACAUAAAAAAUGAAAUAUACUGUAUGUAAUACUUUCUUAUAGAUGAUAUUUUCAAUUGUAUAUGUUUUACUUUGAUUUUCAAUUUCUUUAUCAUGAUCAAAAAUUUUAAUGUAGAUAUCGAUAUCCUUCUAGUUCUUGGUUUUUCACAUUAAUACCAUUUCUUACUUUAAGCAGUUUCAAAAAUGACAUAAAAAAAAGAAUUUGUUGCUAAGUUAUGUAAUAUAUAUAAUAAUAUAAGUGGUAUGUCCAUUAUAACAAGUUAAUUAUAAAUUGUAGACGAAGAUCAAAGUUUAGCACAAGAAGAUCUUUUUCUUUACAAAGAUAAAUUGUUUAGACACGUAACAUCCAGUCAAUCAAAGCUAUAUAUGGAGAACAAAAAUUGAUAAAUUGAUGUUUCUAUUUGAAUUUCUUAAUAAUUAAAUAGUAUGUACCAUUUCAGGUUGGGACAAUUAAAAAGUUAUUUAAUCUAAAACCUUCUAGCACCAAAUUUAUAUAUGCAAGUAGAUGAUAAAUUAAAUUUCUAACAGUAUAAAAUUUUUACAAAAUAAUAGAGGAAAUACUUUCUGACAAUAUGCAUAGAAGUAUAUGCAUUUAGGAUAAUUAAUGUCCAUGUUUAUAACCAUCACUGGAAAGUGUAUUUUGCAAUGCUAAACCUUUUAUUGGGACAAGCAGUUCCAACUUGGUGUGUGUCUGGUAUGAAGGAAAAUAUUUUUUAGAAAAUAUUUUUUUAAUUUUCUUAUUAUUGGUUGGCUUAAAUAUUUUUCAAAUCAACUUGUUAUCCUCAAAAAGGAAAAUGACUUCCCUUAAAAAAAUUAAGGAAAACAUUUUUCAAAACUCUCCUCCAACCUCAAAUUACAAUUUUUUCUUCUUACCCCACCCCAUACCCCUACCCUCCCCAUCCAAAAAAAAUAAUUAAGAAUUUAAAAUUUUCACCUUUUUACGCCCUACCCCCAAACCAACCCCUCCCCCAGCCAAAAAAAUAAAAACUUCAAUUAUUUUUUUUAAGAAAAUAGUUUAAAUUUUAAAAAAAAAUAGUUUUUUUUUACCCUGACCACCUCUUGUCACGAUCCAAAAAUGGACGUGACGGCAUUUGUCUAUUCCCACCAAGACAAGUCAGCCUCAACCUAACGAAACGAAAGAAUGCGGAAAGUAAAACAAGAUAAAAGAGGAAAACUAAUUCAUUUUAUUAUAGCCCCAAAACCUUCACGUGUACAAGCCACUAAUACAUAAAGUGCGAAAAUGAAAGAUAAUUACAUGUCUCAAUGUCUUUGUUUCUCAAAUAGAACAAAGCAUAAAAUAAGGAACAAGAGGGCAUGCCGUGAUUACAAGCAGCUACCUCUCAAAAGACCUUGACAGGCCUCAAAAAAUAGGAGAAGAAGAAGAGUAAUCACACGGUACCGGGCUCAAGAACUACACAAGUGUAGAAGCGAGGAGUGAGUACCAACCAACACGGUACCCAACAAGUAACCAAAUAAUCAAGGCAAAUUAGCUAGAGAUCGAAUACUCCUUUCAUCCCAAUAGAACCUCCUCAAACUACAACCUGCAUAGAAAUCAGCUUAACCUAACAAUUUCACAAAACACAGUUCCCAAGGUUUAACCAAACAAUUCAAUAGGCACAGUUCAAUAACUAAUGUGUAUCAAAUAUAUCAAUCGGAAGUAACAAGUAGAUCAAUUACAAGUAUCAAAAUGCAUCAAAGCACAAUAGUCAACUCUUGCCGGAAUCAUUUCUCUUCGGCACAAUAUUACUAGCCGGAACUAUUUUCCAUCGGCUUUAUAUCACAUCAUUAUCCGGAACCAUUUCCCUUCGGCUUUAUAUCAAUUCACUUGCCGGAACCAUUUCCCUUCGACAUAGUCAUCACAUGUCUCAUCACGGUGUACAACAAUCAGUGUAAAUAAGCAAUUUCACACCAUAGGAAGAGACGACAACUUAAGAAAUUCAAGUCUACAUUCAUGACAUCAAAGUAUUUCAUCAAUUAACCAAAUAGGUCCACAACAAGGCAAUUCACAAAGCAUUUUGAUCAACACAUUGCCUUUUCAUUAAGAUUAAUCAAGUGGAAUAAUGAACUCAUCACCUCAUAUUUCCAUUACUAACCAACCCACACAAUGAAGGGAAAUAUAUGAUUCUAUUAGAUUUACAAGGUUUAGAACAUCACUUGCCUUAAUUCAAUCAAAUAGUCAAUCCAAGACUUGAAUAUUCCCUUUCCAAACAACGCCCGAAACCACACAAUUUAUUUCAAUCAAGUAAUCAAAAUAAGAUCUGGAAAUAACAAUACUUUGUGAGUCAAUCACCUCAAAAACCCAAUUCCUAGCUCGUGUGUCGGGGUCCUGUCCUAGAUCAAUUAUUACGGUUGGUUUCCGGGGCAGAAAUUAUUUUCAUAAAAAGUAUUUCUACUCUCUAGCCAAAAUCAAAAGAUAUUUUCUAGAAAAUAUUUUUCAAAAAGUAUUUUCCUCUCAUCAACUAAACAUGAGAAAAUAAGUCAAAAAUUCUUUCUUGUUUUUUGAUGACAAGGAAAACCUGCAGCCGCUACCCUUUGGGUGCGCACAGGGUAAAACCCCCCACUCUUAUGCAAUAGCUCGCAAAUCACAUAGAAGAGGAAAAUCCACUUAUUUUCUAGAAAAAUAUUUUUCAUGACAAACAUUUUCCUUUCAUACCAAACACACCCUUAAAGAUAAUUAUGUUUUAAUACUAAACAAUAUAUCACUAACAUAAAACCAACAUGGAUUGUGAUGCACUGGUGGGAGUGCUUCACCCUUAACCAGAAGUUUUGAGUUCGAGCCCUGGGUAUGGAGAAAGUCUUGUUGGGAGCGCCACCCUCGAAUGGGCCCUGCAGAGCGCGAUUCAAAUUUAGUCGGAGCUCCAAUGUUGACUCCGAACACCGGGUGGAAAACCAAAUAAAAAAAAAUCAAUCGACAAACUAAUGUGAAAUGGAGAGUCAUACACAACAAACAAGAGAAAGAACGGAUUACAGAUAAAAGUUGGAAUAUUUAAUAAAUAUCAUGGUUCUAUAUCAAUUAAUUUUUUUCUUCCACUCGAAUCAAUAUCAGCCUCCUAUCUGCAAAAACACAUGCAAACAACAUUAUUUCCUCCAAUUAAUGUUAGAACUCAUUUUUUAUUGAGCGGCGUCCUCAUUUUAUUUUUACCUUGGAUGCAUGCGGGUAUAGCAUAUGCUCAUCAAUGAAUUCAUCUGUACUCGGUAUUUCCAAAGCUGAGAAAAAAUAUAUAUAUAAUUUUCAUGAAAAUUAUAACAAAUAGUAGAUGUGAACCCAUGAAUAUAAAGAUAAUAUUGAAUCCAUAAAACUUAAAUUCUAGAUCUGUUUCUGUUUGUAUGAUGCAUAGCUCAGAAUAUCUCCAUCAAGUGUUAAACUACAUAUUCCAUUCAAGUUUAUCUAGAAUAUGAUAAUUAAGGUGAAAACUUUUAUAAACAGAGGCGAAUCUAGAAUUUUAAGAAGACGGGUGCACCAGUGUCAGGGGCUGCUCUGUCCAUUUAAGAAAAAAGGCAACUAAUUUAGGCUUUCAAAUUUGAGAGGCCUUAUUUAUUUUAGCAAUAAUAAAUAUAGGUUUUUCAUAAGAAAAAUACUAAAUACGAUUUGCAAAAUAAAUAAAUUUUAUUAUAAGAAAAAGUUAUUAGAAGAAGUUUAAAAAAGGCUGAAUGUAGAAACUCUUUUGUGAAUAAAAUAAAAUGCAGCAACUGGGAAUCGAUCCCUCAACCUCAAGGUGGAAAACUCAAACUCAAACCAGUGAACCAUCCAAUUGUUUGUGUUCAUGGGUUCCUUCGGUUGCUAUUUGAUAUAUUUUAAGAAUUAUACAAGUAAUACAUCGAGUUUUGUCGGAUGACCACGGGUUCCGAUCACCCAUUUUUUAAACUUAAAUUCGCCCCUGUUUAUAAAGAUAUGGUGUGAUUGUGUGAGUGAGGUGAUAAAAUAAGUUGUGUUAAUAUUCAAAAAGUUUUAGUAACGAAAAUCCACAUGAUUGAAUUAAUUGAAGCAUUAGUGUUGCAACGAAAAAUAUUGCAUUUAUUGAGUUAUUGUGAUGUUUUUAACCGAUUUUGUGAAGAGUGGGAAGAGCAGAUAAAAUUUAUCGAAUACCAAAAAAAAAAAAAGAGAAUUCAAAAUUCUUCUGACUUCUGUAAAUUAUGACUAAGCGUUAGUGAAAUUGUCCGUGUUUCGCACAGUUAUAUAUACAUAUAAUAAUGCUUAGAUGAAUGAUCAUUUAUUUCAAUAAAGUAGUAUAUUAUAUUUAUAUUCAGAUUAGUGUUGGAUAUAUAAAAUAAUCUCGAUAUUUCUCAUCAUCUGCGACAUGAUAUGUUUUUUCAUCUUUUUCAAUAUACAAAAUAGAAUUAUUAUUGUUUUUGCAUCUUUUUAAGCGCAAAUUAUUCAUAUGUAUAUAGUAAAAAACAAAAUAUUUAUUGUGGUAAAGUAAAUGGAAUAAAAUGUCAUAUUUGAAAUAACAAUAUAUAUACUAUACUACGCUAAAAUAUUUUUUAUAUUUAAUUUUUUUGUCAAACAUGCAUUUCAUGAUGUUCAUAGAAAUUAUGCACUUCUAGUUUUUAUGAUCAGUAUAAUUAAAAUAUACUAAAUUGAAAAAUAUAAAUCAAUUAGUUUUUAUAAUAUUAGUCAAGAACAUAUGUUUAAUAAUUAAUAUUUAAUAUCAUUUAUAAAGGCCAUUAUUUGUCUAAUAUAAAUUUUAAAUUUUAACUAAUUAAUUAUUAUUUUUAAAAUUCAAUAUAACCUUAUGAUUACACUUGUACAACCAAACAAUACACUUGUAAUUACAAUGUGGCAAACAAACAAGUCAGCGUAAUUACUAGGUAGGUAAUUACUACCCUAGUAAUUACACCAAUUUUAAUUACCCGAUGACUUUCUGAACAGACCACAACAACCAAUUAAGUGCUUUAAUUUCCUACAAUGAACUAGUGAAAUUAUCCGCGCUUCGUGCGGCUAUAUAAAAUAUUUAUAAGAUAAUAAUAUGUAAUAUUUAUAUUUAGGUUAGUAUCAAAUAUAUAGAUAAUAUUAAUAUUUCUCUUCAUCUGCGAUAUCAUACGUUUUUUCAUUUUUUUAAACAUAUAAAAUAUAUAUUGUUUUGUAUAUGUAAACAGUAGAACAAAAUAUUCACUAUGGUGAAGUAAAUGGAAUAAGAGGUAAUAUGUUGAAAUAACAAUAUAUUGUAUUACAUUUGAAAAUAUUUUAUAUGUUUUAAUUUCCUCUAUCUUUUGUAGGAGUACUAAUUUUCUUUACAAACUCUGAUUUCGUAAAAACAAAUUUGAAUUUUUUAUUAUGUCUUUAUUAUUACAUUUGUUUAUUAUAAUUUUUUAAACAUUAAUUAAAUAUUUAUAAGAAUUAUGAAAAAUGAAACAUACAAAAGUUAUGAAUAAUAUUUAAUAUUAGAAGUUACAAGUAAGAUGAAGAGACAUGAGUUAUAAAUAAUUCAAAAUGUAUAAUUUUAUUAGACAUCAAAUGUAUUACUAAUUAUGCAUUGAUUUUAUUUGUAAAAUAAAUAAAUAAAAAUACGGGGUGAAAAUACAAAAAAAUGAACAAAGAAAAUAUAAUAAUCGGUGAUUGCAUAAAAAAUAUAAAUACAUUUCAAACCAAAAAGAACGGUGCCGAAAAUAGAUUGUCCCAUUUUUAUCGGAUGUCCCCGAAGGGCCUCGAAAAUAGAUUGUUACAUACGCAAAAAAUGGCAUUAUGAAACAAAUAUUUUGUUUUUCAAUUACUAUUUUAUAAGUAUAAUAAAAAUGAAACUCAUAAUCAUCAUUUUUUUUUUGUUGAAAUGGGAUAAUUAUAUUAAUUUUGCUUCAUAACAAAGAAAAACUAGAAUAGUAAAUGAUCAAAUGAUUAGCAUUGACAAUUAAUGGAUUUAGCUAAAUUAUUUAUACAAAUCAAAAUUUUAAAAAUUCUAGCAAAAGUAACUAAGUUACUAAUACAAGUCAAAGUGAAAAAAAAAUCUAGCAAAAAUAAUCUCUAAUUAUGCUUCAUUUUUUUUCCUUCUACCAUCUUCCUUUGCAAGUAGAUCCGCCAUCAUAUUUUGCUCCAUAAGUCAUACUCUUCAUUAUAUGCAACCAACUGAAAAAAAAUGAAUAAAAAAAUCAUAUACCAAUUAAAAAUAAUUAUAUCAAAAGAAAAAAAGAAAUUUAAACUAUAUGUAAUAUAUUUGUAUUAUUUUUUUUAAUAGUACUAACUAUACUAAAUAAUAAUCAUUUCUUGAAAUCUAACAAGCAUUAUAAUUAAACUAUAUUAUAUCCGGAAAACUAACUAUUAGAAAGAGCAAUUGCAUACGGACAACACAUUGUUAAGAAUUACAGAGGCAUUUUUUUUAAUCAUACUUGCUUGAUGAAUGAUAAUACAAACAUAAAUAAAAUAUUAAUAAAGCAUGUCUAAGUACAUAAAAAUAAAAAGAAAGACUUGAGAAUGAAAUAUAUCUUACCUUCAUAAUUUUGUAUGUGAAUCUUCAUGAAAGUAAAUACGAAUUUAUAUAGACAAAAUAGAGAAAAAAAAUAAAAUAAGGACUUGAGAAUGAAAUAUUUAUUAAUUUCAUGUACUUUUUUUUGUUACAUGUUAGUUUCAUUCACAAACCAAAUAUUAAUUUAUAUAGACAAAAUAGAGGAAAUGAAAAAAUAAAGAUUUCCAAUGAAAUAUUUCUUACCUUCAUGUACUUCUUUUUGUUACAAACCAAACUAAUAUGAUGAAGAAGAAAAAGGAUAAUUUUGAAUGUAAAUCUUCAUGAAGCUAAUAUGAAUUUAUAGCCAAAAUAGAGGAAUAUCAUAAGACAUCAUAAACUUACAAAUUUGAGUUUGGAGGUUAUGGACAUAAAAAUUAUGAGAAUUAUGAAUAUUAUUAAAAGUAAAAAUUAAAGAGGAGCAAGUCAUGGGUAAUAACUCCUUGUGAAUAAAUUAAAAAAUAAAGAGAAAGAUACUUAAAAUAUAAAAAAAAUUAUUAUCAUUUCAUGAUUAGAAGUAAGACAAACAAAUAGAAAAAAAGAAUGUGGAGAGUUUUUUGUUGUAAAUGUUCCUACAUUAAUAAAAUAUAUUUUUUUGUAAUAAAUUAAGUAAUUUACUUUUACAAUACAAUAAUUAAUUUGAAUUAAAAAAAAGGAGAAAAGGAGAAAAAAGAUAAAUUAUGUUUCUCCUUUAUUAUAAGUGAGACAAACAAAUAAUAAUAAAAAAGAAUGUGAGGAAUUUUGUUGUAAAUGUUCCUCCAUUAAUAAAAUAUUUAUUUGUAAUAAAUUUAGUAAUUUAUUUUUACAAUACAAUAAUUAAUUUUUUUUAAUUAAAAAAAAGCCAAAAAAAUGAGAAAAAAGAAAAAUGCAAAUGGAGGCCAUGGAGAGGAGCCACAUCACAUUGUCUAUGUUUCUCCUUUAUUAUAUAUAUAUNNNNNNNNNNNNNNNNNNNNNNNNCAAAUGGAAGCCAUAGAGAGGUGUCAUAUCACCUUGUCUAUGUUUCUCCUUUAUUAUAUAUAUAUAUAUAUAUAUAUAUAAAUUUUUAUGGACUUUUAUCACUUUUCUUACAUUAGGUGCAGGUUAGCUUUUAGCUAAGGGUAAAAUGGUCGUUUAGUAUUUACUGGACAUAAUUUUUUUAUUUAAUAUUUAAAUAAUUAAAUAUGUUAUCACAUUUUGUUCAAGUAUAAGAGCAAAAUGGUAAUUCAACUUUGAGUUUAGGAUCUUCCACUUUUAGUAAUACUAGUUUAUGUACAGACAUAAUACAUAAACAUGACCCGUAACUUGACGUCAGCUGGCAACUAUGGCCUUUAACUUUGGGUGUGCACAAGUAGGCACUUAAACUUGUAUAAAAUUGAACAAAUAGACACAUUCGUCCUACAUGGUACCCUACAUGGCAAUUUUAUUUCCUACGUGGCGUCCUACGUGUAUUAUGUCAUGUCAGACAUGUGUGUCUACUUGUUCAAUUUUAUACAAGUUUAAGUGCCUACUUGUUCAACACUCAAAGUUGGAGGGCAUAGUUGUCGGCGGAAGAUAAAUUAAGGGUCAUGUUUAUGUAUUAUGCCAUAAAAAUUCUAUAAAAGCAUACAUGUAAUGAGUAAUAAAAUGCAAUAGUUAUAAAUAAUUUUUUAAAAAUAUGAAGAAAAAAAAACCAAAUGAGAGGUAUAUAUACUAUUUCAUGAGUCUAAAUAAAAAUACAAAUCAAAGAAGCCAAAUAGGGAGAAAAUACAAUAAAUAAAUAGAGAAGAAAAAAAUACGGCGUACACAUUCUUCUUAGGGUUGUGAUCAUAACAAUAUAGAUGAAAAAAGAAAUAUACAAUUAGUACAUAAUUUUUCAUGUUCUUGUCAACUCUUACUCCCAUAUAGCAUUCUUCAUCGAGUCAAACUAAAACAUGAAUCAAAUACUACAAUAAUGAUAUAAACACUUCACCACUUUAACUUUUCAAUGAAAAGGAUAACCUUGGGCAGAGAUCACAUGAAACAAAAAAGAUGGAUUUAUAUAGAUAAAAAUGAAGGAAUAUCAAAAGAUAUCUUAAAAUUUUAAAUUAAAUAAUUGGAGGUUAUGAAUAUAAAAAGUAUGAGAGUUAUAUGUAUAUAAAGAAUAAUAAUUGAUGAAUAUGUAAUUAAAUAUGAGAUAUUAAGGUGAAUACUGAAAGAAAAUAAAUAAUAACAAUAAUAAUAAUAAUAAAUAAAUGAAAGGGCAUAAAUAUCAUAAUACAUAAACUAAUAAAUAACAAACGUAUAACUCAAGACAUACAAAUAUUUUUUGAAAAAUAAUUUGAAUGUAUUAAGCUUCAAUUCGUUAGGUUAUAAAUAAUGAAUAUUUCAUUGAUUAUCUAUUGAAUUUAAGAGAUUUAAUAAUAUUAUAACAUAUUAUUUGGGGUCAUGAAUUUGAAAAGACAGAGAAAUAAUAGAGAUUAUUAAAAACAAGAGUCAUGAAGAUGAUAAUGUGUGAGUUAAAGGCACAAGAUUAAUGAAUAUUAUUAGAAGAUAAGUUGUGAAAAUGAAGAGGUGUAGUUAUGAAGUUGAUUUUUAGGAUAAAAUAAUUUUAAGAAAAUAAAAAAUACUUUAAAGUAGAUUGUUGUGUUAUUUAUUAAAUGAAAAAGUAAUUAUUAAAAAUGAUUUUAAGAAAAUAAAUUAAUAGAUAAGGGAUCUUUUCAUAAUCCAACUUUUGACUUAGAUUCUUAUAUGAUACUAGUUCUGGGAAUGUCCCAAAACAUUUCAUGUAAAUUUUGUAUUGUAAAUGACAUAUUUUAUGUCCUUCAAAUCUAUAUGAUGAUGAUAUGAUCGGAGUACAACAUUUGGUCUUUUGGCAGGUAUCAUUUUCUGCUCUUCGCAAGGACGUUGUCAAUGUUGUGGAUAUCAUGGAGAGGUUAACGAAUGAAGAAAAUCAAAUAGAUCUUGACGAUGGUCUAGUUGAAGUGCUGAAAUUUGAGCUGGCAUUAAUUUGUGCAAACGUCCUGCUUUCUUAUUCCGAUUUGGAGCAGUUUGAAGAUGUAAUGACUUCGCUAAGAGAACGGGUUAAAGAUGUGUUUCAAUCAAUUUUGGUUGAAGUUGACAACAAAUACAACCUGCCUCAUAUCCUUGGUAGCUUCAUGGAUAAUAUAGAUGAUUGUAUCAGCUCAUGUCCUCGUUCUACAUCCAUGACUGAGGAGGAGUUGGACUUCCUCCUCCUGAAUCUACAUCAUCUAUCCAAGUAUGCUUGGAUGAUGUUUCCAUAUAACGCUCAGCUUGUGAUGCUUCAGAAUGAGUGUGGUAACAUGAAAGAUUUCCAUGGAAUGAUAGUGAAUGGUUGCAUUGAAAAAGAUAUUGUAAAAUAUGUCUUACCUCAGUUUCAAUUCAUGGCUGAGAGAGUCGGACUCUUUCUUUGGGAGUUUCAUAGAAAGUCUGUACUCUCCCAGCUAGAUCAUGAGGAUGAUCAGACUGAUCAAGAUGCUCAACUCUCCGAGCUAGAUCAUGAGGAUGAUCAGACUGAUGAAGACUCUCAACUAAGCAAGUUAGCACAUCUAUUCUUGCAGAUUGUUCCAAUUGAAUUGGAGGUUAUGCACAUAUGUUACACAAAUUUGAAAUCUUCAACUUCAGUAGAAGUUGGACAAUUCAUUAAACAACUCCUGGAAUCCUUUCCAGACAUUCUUAGAGAAUAUCUUAUUCAUCUACAAGAGCGAAUGGUAACUGUAAUUAACCCAAGCAUUUCAGGAGCUCGAAACAUUCACAUCAUGAUGGAGUUUCUGUUGAUUAUUCUUACUGACAUGCCUACCGACUUGAUUCAUCCUGACACAUUUUUUGAUCUCUUGGCACGUGUUGGAGCACUUACCAGGGAGGUAUCAACUCUUGUUUGGGACUUAGAAGACAAAUCAAUGAACAAAGAGAGUACCAAUGAAACAACUCUUGUCCGUGGCUUAGAAAAGAAAUCAAUGAAGAAAGAGAGUACCAAUGAAACAAAUCGUACAACACUACACUUGCUAAAAGAUAUUGAACUCCUGAAGGGAGAUCUGAGGCACGUUUACUUGAAAUCUCCCAACUCAUCUCAAAUUUGCUUCCCCAUGAAUGAUGGACCUCUCUUCAUGCAUCUUCUACUUAUACACUUAAAAGAUUUGCUGGAUUCCAAUGCUUAUUCAAUUGCUUUGAUCAAGGAAGAAGUUGGGUUGGUGAAAGAACAUCUGGAAUUCAUAAGAUCUUUUUUCGCGAAUAAUGAGGAAGAAUUGUAUAAAGAUCUCUGGGCACGUGUUUUAAAUGUAGCAUAUGAGGCAAAAGAUAUCAUUGAUUCACUUCUUGUUCGAGACAAUGGUCUCUUACAUCUUAUUUUCUCACUUCCCAUCACCAUAAAGAAGAUCAAGCUUAUCAAAGAAGACAUCUCCAAUUUACCUGAGAAAAUUCCCAAGAACAAAGGGCUCAUUGCUGUAAACUCUCCCAAGAAGCCAGUUGAAAGUAAGUCAUUGACAACUGGUAAAAUAAUUGUAGGUUUUGAGGAGGAGACAAACUGGAUAAUUAGAAAGCUCUUUGGUGGACCGGCAGAUCUAGAUGUCAUUUCGAUCACUGGUAUGCCGGGUUCAGGUAAAACUACUUUGGCGUACAAAGUAUACAGUGAUAAAUCAGUUUCUAGUCAUUUUGACCUUUGUGCAUGGUGCACAGUCGACCAAGAACAUGACGAGAAGAAGUUGUUGGGUACAAUUUUUAAUCAAGUUAGUGAUUCAGAUUCAAAAUUGAGUGAGAAUAUUGAUGUUGCUGAU
rnacentral:lncRNA from 1 species